rnacentral:piRNA from 1 species
UGGGAUUAGUUUAUACUUCAGAACCCUCUUC